GGCUGCCUUCAGAUGUCUUCUAAAAGUCAGAUAGUUGUUUAUUUCCUUGACAUCUGAUGCGAGGGUGUUCCACAGGGUGGGUGCCACCACUGAGAAGGCCCUCUGCCUGCUUCCCUGUAACUUCGCUUCUGGUCUGACUCUGUAUGGCUUCCCCUGCACAGCGAACAACCUCAUACUUGUUUGCCGCUCCAGGUAGAUGAAACGGGAGCCGAGGGCACCAUCAGGCCAGGGGAGCAAGUCAUUUUCCUGUGCUUACAGGUAAGACUUACCUGGCCUUCUUCCCAGAGCACUUUUAUUGUCAUUUCUAGGUGUGCCUCUAGGUGGCAGCAAUACUCCUCCCUUUUCUGGGUCCACACUCUGCGUCUAACUAGGCACAGUUGCUAAAUCAUUGAUAAGAAUCCCUUCACACCCAGGUUUGUUGGUUUGUUUUUGUACAUUCAGUGUUGUGAGUUCAAUGCUAUGGAACUCUGCAGCCAGGCUACAUUUCAGGCGCCGGGUUAAAAGGGUUCAGGAGGUCUUUGUACCAUGAAUUGUGGCUCUCAUGUUUCUAUUUCUGAUGCCUCCAUCUCUGUUUCAGAUUUGAUGUAUAUUGGAUGUUUGGAAGGUAUCAAAUCCUGAGCCUGUUUAGGUCAGUCACGAGGCUUCUUAACCUGAUGUGAGUUAAGAAAGCGAAAAGGGUGCUUUAAGUCAAACUCUGUUUUCUUUUUUUUUCAAAUUGCUUUUUACUGAAUUUUUCCAC